UCCUUAUGAAUCAAUGCACAAUACACAAUAUAUAUCUGCUACAUGUUGGAACAACUUGACUUAUUUCCUUUACCAUGUGGGUGGUGUACUUCCACCAGCAGCCGGUUCAGCUCCAGCGGCAGGUGCAGCUCCAGCGGCUGGUGCAGCUCCAGCGGCAGGUGCAGUUUCAGCGGCAGGUGCAUCUCCACCUGCGGCCCCUGCGGCCCCUGGUCCAAGCCAUUUUGAGAUGUUUCCAAACGGAUUUCCGCCCCCUCCAAGCCCUCCAAGUCCUCCAGGUAUACCUCCACCUGCGGCCCCUGGUCCUAACCAUUUUGAGAUGUUUCCAAACGGAUUCUCGCCCCCUCCAAGUCCUCCAAGUCCUCCAAGUCCUCCAGGUAAACCUCCACCUGCGGCCCCUGGUCCUAACCAUUUUGAGAUAUUUCCAAACGGAUUUUGGCCCCCUCCAAAUCUUCCCCCAAAUCUCCUACCUCCCCCAAACCUCCUACCUCCCCCAAAUCUCCUACCUCCAAACCUACGUCGCAUGCUACAUAUAUACUCACAAGUGCGUGCAAAGGUUAAUUAUGUAUUAAAAACAAAAUUGUACCACUUCUUAUUAAUCACGUUGACAGUUUUUCUAAUGAUAUCAUGUUUCGAAAAAAGGUAAACACGGGUUGUGAUGGAAUUGACAACUCAUAAGUUAGAAGACAAAACAUUAAAGAAUUAAUAAGAACAUUAAGGUGGACAGUCAACAGUGUACACUACUCUUAAAAAUAAAUGAGGUAGUAUGUGAAAAGAAUCAAACAUAGACAAAAGAGAAUUAUAUAAGUCUGUUAUAAAACAAAAAAAAAAUCUAUAGUUUUUAAAAAUUUCACUUAAUGAACCACCUGAUGAGACUAGCAACGGCCAUCGUUCCGAGUGCGCCACCGGCGGUGAAUCCUGUAGUUAUGACAGCAGUGGCUAUCGUGGCUGGUACGAGAAUAGGACUGAGUAUGAUAAAAAGCGGUGUGGUUAUGGUUAAUGCCGUGGCUGAACCUGCCAGUGUUAGACCCGCUAACACUAAGAAGACUAUAGAGACCACGGCAGCAAUAACCACCUGAGAAACCUCCGACACUAGGAUGAUGAGAAAAGAAAACAUAUUGGGAGAAAUGUUAAAUUUCGAUGACUGAGAUUUGUUCUUCGGCUCAUACUUUAUUAUUGAAUGGUUGUUAGGGUCUAUACAUGCAAAACGAUGGGCGUAAAUAGAGAUUUACGUCACGUCACCUUUGCUUUUUUUUUUUGGGUUGUCAUGUUUUUGGACCAUCUUUUCUUUCUUGUAAAAGCUCAAACAUUAAUUGUCGUGUUGCAAUUCAUGUUUACGGUUGAAACAACCUAAAAUAGGUGCUUCGAAAGAAAUCCAAGAAGAGAUUUUCUGGAAGUUUGAUGAAUGCUAGUUUGCUUGAUUUUACGGCUGAUGGUUGCAGUAAAUCUUGAUUCGGCUUGAUGAAAUUGCAUGCAAUAUGCUGUUUAAUUUUCAAAUCUCGUAAAAUAAAAUUGUAAGAGAUUCUUGUGAGGUUGGCCAAGUGGGAGAGUUUAGAUUAUACAAAAAUAAAAUAUCGUCGAACAUGAGAAGGCCGAGCAUGCAUAUUCGAUUUUGUCAGGAAUAACUCUUUAAUUUUUGGGAUAUAUAUGAAACAUUGAAAAAAAGGUGAUAUCAAGAUUCUUCCACUUGGCUGUUAAAAGACAAUCAUGCGUAAUAAAACUACAUGCAGAGAGGAUCUUUGGUGAAUGGUUUUUCCAAGCUGUUUCUCAACACACGAAGGAGCGCUUAAGAAUGCAACUAAAUAACCGGAAAACCGAGAACUGUGUACCUAUCUUCCGUUGGAUGGAGAGAGAGAGAGCCAGGUUUGAGACGAGAAGAAUGUUGUUGAAGGUUCACCAAAAUCACUCGACCACAUGAAUAUGUUAGAGGGGUCUUAUGCUACAGAUCACAUAUCAAAAAGUAAAAAGCUCGAACCGAAUAUGGAUGGUUCAACUACUUAGAGGGAUGCUGUUUUAGUGAUAUCCCCAAAUUCGAGUCCUAAGGCUUACAUUUGGAGAGAGAUCUGAUAGAAAAAAAGUCUUCGAACGUGAGAAACUAUGUAUUGAUAACUAUUCAUAUAAACUUUAUGAGCAGUCCGAUUUGGAUUUGGAUUUGGAUUUGUCACAUUUUGAUUGGAUCUCAGAGUUGGUCGAUCAAAUUGGAAAAUUAAAGCAGAGACCAAAAGAAACCCGAUAAAUAAAGUGGAUUUUGUUAAAAUCCACAAGAUCAAGAUUCAAGAUGAGAGAUCUUGUCAUGUAUAUGGUAAAUUUAAUUGUAAUGAUUUAUUGCAAUGUCACAUAAGUCUUUGAAGUUUCGAUCAUAUAAACAAUGUUAUAAAACAGAGUUUCAGAAGAAAACAGAGUUUAUUGGCUAAGUUGUAUUAGUCACUAGUCAUGCAACCGUUACAUAGAUAUUAUAGUUAUCGCUUGUCAGUUUAUACCAUAAAAGGUUUGGGUUGUUGAUCGUUGACAAGAAAAAAAACAGCAAUUUGAUUGACAAUAUAUACGUUUUUUUUUUAAAUGUAGAUGUUAUAAGGCCAUCUCCAAUGGUGAGAGCUUUCCCAUGAGCUCUCACCAAUUUUUUAAUAUAAAUUUUGUCAAAUUUUUAAAUGAGAACUUGUGUUUUCUUUUAAAAAAAUUUCAUACUCCAAUGGUGAUCUCUCUCAAGUAGGUUCUUAAAAAAAAAAAUUUCAAACAUGUAAAAAUAUAUAUGGUUCUAGCUUCGCAAAUGAUGAAGCUAGAUGAUUUUCUGACCAAACUGCAAUGCAAACUGAUCAACUGCAGCCAUAGCUUGACAAGCUGAACUAAUUGAUCCAUCAUAUCUGCAGGAAGAAAUCAUAACCAUCUUUGUAAGGGAGUUUGUUGUCUGGCUCUACUCCAACAGCAACUGCAGUCUGCGACGAGGCAACAGACACAAACACUUUCAAGAACAAAAACCUAUAUGAUUAUCAAAAAGUAUUAAGACGUAAGCAAUGGAAACAUCGUUCCACACUCAAUCAACAUUUUGAAUGAUGCUAUCAGAAUACAAUAACAAAGCAACGGAAUCCAAACUAGAGAAACUUAAAGAAUCAAAUGAUGGAAACAAAGAGGCAAUGUAGAAAACCAUUCUCAAACAAAUCAACAUCCUUAUCAGAAUUUAUAAUAAACAACACAAAUUAUAAGUUGCAGCUGCGUUUCUCAGAAACACCUGAUGCAUUUGACCUAACAUAAUAAUGGAAGAUUCUAAAUAUAAUCACACAAAACUUCAAGGUUCCGACUAGAGUCCAUAAGCUACUGAUACAUGCACUUCUACCUUCAUCUUUACUCUAAAAUCUAAAAUUCAAAAUCUCUAAUCGACCAACAACAAAUUCCCAAAAUUAAAUCAUGAUAAUCUGCAGAAAAGUAGUAGAUUCUUACCAAUUACAAGAUUUCUUGAUCGAAGACUCUCAUUCGAUCCUCUUCUCCGGUUCAGACUCUUUCCUCACAUCAGCUAAUCCAGAUUUAAGCGUCUCGUUACUCGGAUCAAUCUCUAAUCCCUUCUUAUACGCAUCAAUCGCUUCUUCAAACUUAGACAAUCCAAUAAACGCAGCUCCUAACCGACUAUAUCCUAUAGACCAAUCAGGUUUAAGCUCUAUAGUCUUCUUCGCGUCGGAUAAAGCUUCUUCGUAACGGUGGAGAGAACGUAAGCGGCGGAUCGAUUUGAAUAGAGGACGUGAUUGGUUGGUGAGAGAUUGAUUGCUUCUGUGAAGUGGGUUAUUGCGGUGGCGUAAUCGCCAUCGCUCGCAAAGAGAUAGAGAGAAAGAGUCGGGAAAGAAAAAGAGUGUGUGGCUUCUUUCAUUUUUUUCUUGACGCGUUUUUUUUUUGUUUUGAUCAAAAAAAUCGACGGCUGAGAACACGCCACGUCAUCGUCUCUCAUACUACUCAAGAUUUCUCUCAAGAGAGCUGUCUCUCUUCAUAAUUCAGGAUUUUGAUUUAUUUUUCAACAUUUUUUUCAAAAGAACCUGAUCAGAGAACCCAAUAAAACAUCCAUUGGAGAUGCUCUAAGAAAAUUUAGUUACAAAUGUAACGUAAUUUUUAAUAAAAAAAUUAUAAUUUAUUCUUAGUUCAAUUAACAAUUUUUCUCUUAAAAUUUUCAAUAAUCAAUUUACUUUGGUAUAGAUAAACCAAAUUUGAAAAUAUUGAAAUCAAUUUUUAAUUUAAAAUUACUUAGUAUACAAACUUUAAGAAUUUAUAUUAUAUGAACUACAGUGCGGACUACUUAAGAGUCGACCGUACAUUAUACAUUAUACGUUCCCGUUUGUUCAUCACGUUAUAUGAAAUUAAUAAACAUUGUAGCAUAGUCCAUGUGUUUCUUUAUUUCAGUAUAAUCAGCUUUGAGAUUACAUAAGAACAAAAAACGUUUUAAAAAGCUUUUGUUUCCUUAUGAAUCAAUGCACAAUAUACAUGUUGGAACAACUUGACUUAUUUCCUUUACCAUGUGGGUGGUGUACUUCCACCAGCGGCAGGCGCAGCUCCAGCGGCUGGCGCAGCUCCAGCGGCAGGCGCAGCUCCAGCGGCUGGCGCAGCUCCAGCGGCAGGCGCAGCUCCAGCGGCAGGCGCAGCUCCAGCGGCUGGCGCAGCUCCAGCGGCAGGCGCAGCUUCAGCGGCAGGUGCACCUCCACCUGCGGCCCCUGGUCCGAACCAUUUUGAGAUGUUUGCAAACGGAUUUCCGCCCCCUCCAAGUCCUCCAGGUGCACCUCCACCUGCGGCCCCUGGUCCGAACCAUUUUGAGAUGUCUCCAAAUGGAUUUCCACCCCCUCC
rnacentral:lncRNA from 1 species